rnacentral:rRNA from 1 species
UACGGGGGGAGCAAGCGUUGUUCGGAUUUACUGGGCGUAAAGGGCGCGUAGGCGGCGUGACAAGUCACUUGUGAAAUCUCCGGGCUUAACUCGGAACGGUCAAGUGAUACUGUCGUGCUAGAGUACAGAAGGGGCAACUGGAAUUCUCGGUGUAACGGUGAAAUGCGUAGAUAUCGAGAGGAACACCUGCGGCGAAGGCGGGUUGCUGGGCUGAUACUGACGCUGAGGCGCGAAAGCCAGGGGAGCAAACGGG